rnacentral:rRNA from 1 species
GAUGAACGCUGGCGGCGUGCCUCAAACAUGCAAGUCGAGCGGGGCUAUGUAAUAUCGCAAGGUAGAACAUAGCCUAGCGGCGAACGGGUGAGUAACACGUGGGUAACCUGCCUGGAAGACAGGGAUAACGAUUCGAAAGGGUCGCUAAUACCUGAUAAUAUCCUUUCAUCGCAUGGUGAUAGGAAGAAAGGGGAAACCCGCUUUCAGAUGGGCCCGCGUCCCAUCAGCUAGUUGGUAAGGUAAAGGCUUACCAAGGCGACGACGGGUAGCCGGUCUGAGAGGAUGUACGGCCACACUGGGACUGAGAUACGGCCCAGACUCCUACGGGAGGCAGCAGUUGGGAAUCUUAGGCAAUGGACGAAAGUCUGACCUAGCGACGCCGCGUGAGGGAAGAAGGCCUUCGGUUGUAAACCUCUGUCAUGGGGAAGAAGUAAGUGACGGUACCCAAGAGGAAGCCCCUGCUAACUACGUGCCAGCAGCCGCGUAAGAGUACUCUAU